GGGUUGUGAGGUUAAGCGACUAAGCGUACACGGUGGAUGCCCUGGCAGUCAGAGGCGAUGAAGGGCGUGCUAAUCUGCGAUAAGCGCCGGUAAGGUGAUAUGAACCGUUAUAACCGGCGAUACCCGAAUGGGGAAACCCAGUGUGAUUCGUCACACUAUCAUUAACUGAAUCCAUAGGUUAAUGAGGCGAACCGGGGGAACUGAAACAUCUAAGUACCCCGAGGAAAAGAAAUCAACCGAGAUUCCCCCAGUAGCGGCGAGCGAACGGGGAGGAGCCCAGAGCCUGAAUCAGCAUGUGUGUUAGUGGAAGCGUCUGGAAAGGCGCGCGAUACAGGGUGACAGCCCCGUACACAAAAGCGCAUAUGCUGUGAGCUCGAUGAGUAGGGCGGGACACGUGGUAUCCUGUCUGAAUAUGGGGGGACCAUCCUCCAAGGCUAAAUACUCCUGACUGACCGAUAGUGAACCAGUACCGUGAGGGAAAGGCGAAAAGAACCCCGGCGAGGGGAGUGAAAAAGAACCUGAAACCGUGUACGUACAAGCAGUGGGAGCCCCACCACUAAGCCAGUGGUGAACUCCACAUACGCAUCCUUUGCUGAGGAGACGGUUAACGGAGCGAAAGCGACGUUCAACCUCAAAAGAAGCAGAGGGGGCUUAGUGGUGGGGUGACUGCGUACCUUUUGUAUAAUGGGUCAGCGACUUAUAUUCUGUAGCAAGGUUAACUGUAUAGGGGAGCCGGAGGGAAACCGAGUCUUAACCGGGCGUUAAGUUGCAGGGUAUAGACCCGAAACCCGGUGAUCUAGCCAUGGGCAGGUUGAAGGUUGGGUAACACUAACUGGAGGACCGAACCGACUAAUGUUGAAAAAUUAGCGGAUGACCUGUGGCUGGGGGUGAAAGGCCAAUCAAACCGGGAGAUAGCUGGUUCUCCCCGAAAGCUAUUUAGGUAGCGCCUCGUGAAUUCAUCUCCGGGGGUAGAGCACUGUUUCGGCUAGGGGGCCAUCCCGGCUUACCAACCCGAUGCAAACUGCGAAUACCGGAGAAUGUUAUCACGGGAGACACACGGCGGGUGCUAAUGUCCGUCGUGAAGAGGGAAACAACCCAGACCGCCAGCUAAGGUCCCAAAGUCAUGGUUAAGUGGGAAACGAUGUGGGAAGGCCCAGACAGCCAGGAUGUUGGCUUAGAAGCAGCCAUCAUUUAAAGAAAGCGUAAUAGCUCACUGGUCGAGUCGGCCUGCGCGGAAGAUGUAACGGGGCUAAACCAUGCACCGAAGCUGCGGCAGCGACACCGUGUGUUGUUGGGUAGGGGAGCGUUCUGUAAGCCUGUGAAGGUGUGCUGUGAGGCAUGCUGGAGGUAUCAGAAGUGCGAAUGCUGACAUAAGUAACGAUAAAGCGGGUGAAAAGCCCGCUCGCCGGAAGACCAAGGGUUCCUGUCCAACGUUAAUCGGGGCAGGGUGAGUCGACCCCUAAGGCGAGGCCGAAAGGCGUAGUCGAUGGGAAACGGGUUAAUAUUCCCGUACUUGGUGUUACUGCGAAGGGGGGACGGAGAAGGCUAUGUUGGCCGGGCGACGGUUGUCCCGGUUUAAGCGUGUAGGUAUGUGUUCCAGGUAAAUCCGGUUCACUUUAACACUGAGGCGUGACGACGAGGCACUACGGUGCUGAAGCAACAAAUGCCCUGCUUCCAGGAAAAGCCUCUAAGCAUCAGGUAACAUCAAAUCGUACCCCAAACCGACACAGGUGGUCAGGUAGAGAAUACCAAGGCGCUUGAGAGAACUCGGGUGAAGGAACUAGGCAAAAUGGUGCCGUAACUUCGGGAGAAGGCACGCUGACACGUAGGUGAAGUGAUUUACUCACGGAGCUGAAGUCAGCCGAAGAUACCAGCUGGCUGCAACUGUUUAUUAAAAACACAGCACUGUGCAAACACGAAAGUGGACGUAUACGGUGUGACGCCUGCCCGGUGCCGGAAGGUUA
rnacentral:rRNA from 1 species